GUAUCCGCGUCUGAGAAGUUUUAGCCUGUGCACACACUAUUUCCCCUUCCUUUCUAACCUCCCCCCUUUCUUUCCCUCCCCUCUGCCAGUCCUCGGUUAUCUCUAGGGUUAAAAUCCAGACGUGCCUCCCUUUCUAUCCUGUUUUCUCAGGUCUCCUUCCCCCCCCUGCUCGGAAACAGUGGAGGGUCCCCCCCAGUCGUCACUGCUCGCCUUCAGCCCGGGCCGCGGGUGCCGGUUUACCGUGUGCCUGGCUGUAGGAGACCCUGGCCCUGGCAUGGGCGGAAUUGGCGUAGUAGGGAUUGCCUUGGGAGUCCAGGUGGUUGAAGAAGACAUCGACUUCAUCCGGAGGAGUUUUCCCAGCUGGCUUCAAAAGCGGGGUGAAAAAGGAAGAACGGCAGAUCCAAUACAGAGUAGUGCCAGCAAGAACUGGGACUGACACAAAAGGAAAAGGAGGGGGAGAAAGAAGGGGGGAGAAGGCGAAGAGGAGGGAGGAGAAGGGUGUUUAGUGAAAGCAGCGAGUGCGCCCUGGCAGCGGCCCCCCCCGCACCCCGCACUUACCGGCUGGCGGUGGGAGCCGGCGUGGAGACCGCGAAUACGGCGGAGAGGGGAGGAAGGAGGGGGGGAAAUGGGGAGGGAAUUAAAAAUAAGAGAAGCCCCGAGUGCGGGGGGAUCGGAGCUGCAGGGUGUUACUCAGAUGGCAAAGCCGCUGCUCUGGCCGGCGCGGUCCCAUCCCCGCGCAUCCUAUAUGAGCGCUGGCGCCAGCUGGCCGCGGCGCCGCAGACGGUCCGGGGCGCGCAGGGCCGGCGGGGCGGCCGGGACAGCCAAUCCCGGCAGCCGAUCCCGCAGAUCCCGCCGCCCCACACCGCCCCCAGCCGCACCCCCGGCCCGAACGGAGCCGGCCUGGGGAGGGGGGGAGCAGCGCGGACCCCCCUCCUCCGCCUCCUGCCCCCCCGCAGCAUCCUCCGGCAGCGCCGAGGGGGCUUUCCCUGCCUGGGCGCUGCACGCCCCUGCGGGGCGGGGACGGAGAAAUGGGGGGGGGGUCCCGCUGGGGUGUGCGGGGAUGCGGAGGGGCAUGGGCCCACGCUUUGGUGCGGGGGGACCGGAGCGGGCAAUAGGGCCAGCUCCGCCGGGUGCUGCCCCCGACCGUGGCUUCCAGCGCCGCCGCCGGGAUGCCCGGGGCGAGGGGGGUGGAAGUCAGCACCGGGGAGAUGAGUACGUUAAAAUUCCCUUAAAGCAGGCACAGCAGCGCGCAGCCGGGAGCGGGGCUAACCCCAGCGUGGCUGUUCCCAUCGUGUUAGUUUGAAAUAACUGUCUGAACGGGGAAAUAACCGAAUAAUUGCGCUGCUCCUCAGAGCCCGGCAGGCUGAGAAGAGGGAGCGGGGCCCCGCCGGGCAGGCGGCGGAUAAGGGACGGGUCCUGCCCGGCUCCCGGGGAGGCAGUGCUGGGGUCGGGCCUGGCUGGGGCUCGCUGGAGGCUGCGGCAGCGGGGAGCCGAGCCGAGGGGGGCCGGGGACCUGCUGCGGCCUCCCCGACGGGGCUGCGGCGCCAACACCCCGCGUGUUCUGCUUCUCCCCUUAAAAUAAAAUUGAAAAACCCCACAACCAAACCACCAACAGAACCCUCCAAAGAUUCAAUUUUAACACUCGCAGUUACUCGUGAGCGAGGGCAGAGGCGCAGCCCGCUUCAACAGGCGUUUUCCGCGGAGUUCGCGGCGCAGCUCGGGUUCUGCCACCCUCGAAGGUGCGGACAAAGCCACCCGCUUUUGGGGCAGAAAAUGAUAUUAUUAAUACUAAUAACAGUGAGAAAGCCAGAGAUUGCCCGCGCCCCGGAGCGCUGCCGGGCGCUGUGGGGGUCCCGUUCCCCUGCACUGCCCUCCCGCGCCUCCGUCGUCGCUUUCGCGGGAAAUAGGAACAGCUCGUCCCGAUCCCGUAAAGCUCCGACCUGGACCCGGGGCGAAGGAGCUGCCCCUCACCCGGGAGAGGGCAGGGGGGAGCCGAACACGGCCCGCCGCCCCCUCGGCAGCGGCUCCAGCCCGACGGCGCGGCCGGGGAGGGGGCUCGGGAGCCGGUCGGGGCCGGGCCGGGGCCCAGCGGGGGGGGCCGGAGGACGAGGAAGAUGGUGCCGGUGCUGCCCCGGCCGCCCCAGUCACCACGACGCCGGGGCUCUGACGUCACCCGUCACUGCCAAAUUCGCCAGGAAAUGAACUUUUUUUUUCUUUUUAAUAAUAACAAUAAUAAUAAUGAUGAUGACGGUAAUAAUAAAACUCCUUUUCCUCGCUGCCGAUCCCGUCUCACCGGAGCGAUUCGGGCUCCCUCCAUAGCUAUUCCCUCACCACCAUCACCCCUUGUUCCCUCCAAGCAUCCCCCAGGGGCACCCCCAGCGCAGACCCGGAGAGGAGAACAGGCAACGCGGCCCGGGAUGGCUUCUACGGAGGCUGGGGCUGGGGGAGCCGGCUUUGCUCCCCCUCUCCCCGCAUCCUUUCCUCUUGCACCCGAAGCCAGGACUCCCCAAGGCCCUGCUUUCGGGGCUUGGCCGUGCCCCUCGCCCCCCUCCGCUGGGGGGAUGCCAAGCAGCUGAUCCGGGCGGCAGCUCCUCGCUUGGCUGCCGGCCGCAGCAGGGACGGCGGAGCCGGCUUCUCUCCGGCCGGGCUGGGUGGUCGGGGCAGGCCGGGGCCAGCGCUGGGGCUGGGCGGGGAAGCGGGGCCGGGCCUUGGGGUGCCCGGGCGCCCAGGGCCGGAGGUGCCAAGGAGGAAAGGGAAACAAAGCAAUUAAAAAAGAAAGAAAAAGGAAAGUCAAAAGCGAGAGAACCUGGGAGCUUUCGAAAAACCCGGCUUCGACCUCCGAAGCGAUUUUCUUUCUGCACGCAUCAAAACCCCCACAAAUCCACUCAAAUAUCCCCCCCAAAGGAAUUUAUUCUUUUUUAUUUUCCGAAGGAAGGGUGAGUAUAAACUGAACGCGGCCGGUUGCAGGUCGGUCCCCUCGGCGUCUCGUUAUCCCCGCAGCCCGGGGGCUGCCGGAGCCGGGGCGCUCCGUGCCCGCGAUCCCUCCCGGAGCAGCCGGGAUCAUCCCGGGCCCGGCCGGAGCGGGCCCAGCGCCUAGCUGCGCCUUUAUUAAUCAAUAUGGCUGUUUAAUUACUGCCCGCUGCCACCAGCAUGGGGCCGCGCUAGGUUUUUUCUUGGGGGGGGCGAGCGGGGUGGGCUGUUUGUUUUAGGCAGGUGAUAAAAUCGCAGUUAACGAGCUGAUAAUUCGUUCGUGUUUGUUUUAAAAGACAAAUUGUAAAGAUUAAUCAGGCGGUUUGAUUUAUGGCGAGGCAGACCCCGGCGCUGCCCGGCCGGGGCUCCCUGAAGCCCCUGUCUCGGGUUACCGGGGGGCGAAGCGAAACAAAAGGGGCGAACCAGAGACGGAGGCGGCAGCUCCUGGGGUCGGGUCCCGCCAUUCCCGAGCCGGGGUCCGGCGCCUUUCCUCGCACCCUCCCCCCGCCUCUAAAUCCCUCUGUAACUGAAGGACCCCUUUAUCAGGGAUGGACGAUUUCAGCUGAGGAAGCGGCUGAAUUCCCGCGGGAGGUUUUCCUCCAGCCGCCUCCCAGGGUUUCACUUGAGUUUAUUUCGCUGUUUCUAUCGCCGCCGCUUCCCGGCCUCGCUGCCAGCGUUUGCCGACCCGGCCGCCGCUGCGGACUCGGCCGCUAAUGCCCCGGCGGCAGGGCUGGCGGUUAAUUGAAUUAAUUCCCCGUCGGGAGAAGCAGCAGCAGCAGCUCUGCACCCGCGUCCCGGUGAGCAGCUCCCCCACAACCCUCUGGGGAGGCAGCGGGUCCGGGCAUUAACUCCGGUUUAUUAACUUCAUUUUGUUAUUCCCGUUGCAUUUCUUUUUUUUUUUUUCGGUUUUAAUCAGGAGCUUUCCCAGCUCUGGAAGCACAACUGGUUAUUUUGAUUUGAUUGACAAGUGAUGUCAUAUCGUUAAGGGAGAGGGGGGAGACGACAACGUGUUUUAGCAACAGUUAGAAGCCCUGUGUGAUGGAGUUGACACCUACGCCGGGGCAGAGGCGAAGGCAGAACCCCUCUUUCCCUAUCCACGCACACGGAAUUGGGUUUAUUCCUUUUGAUUUCCUUUUUUUUCCCUAUUCUGGGUGCUCGGACCCUCGCAGCCGGGAGUGGCUGGGCUGGAACCUCACCCCCAGCGACACUUCCCUCCAGACACCCCCUUCUCUGGUUAUUUCGGGCUCAGCUGGUGCAGGAAAGGGGCCGUUCCUGCAGGUUUCAUUUGCUUCCUCGCAAGCAAAACUCCGCUGGGGAGGGACGGAGCCCGAAACGGGCAGCGGUGCUCGUCUCGCCCGCGGUACCGGUCUCGGCUGCGUUCCCCCUGUAAGCCGCGGGGCACGGACCAGGGCGGCAUGGGACUUCCGAGGUCUUUCGGGCUAUGCACCUGCAAGUAGGAGAAGCAGCGGAGAAGCUGAAAGAGGCGCAAGCAGCUAUUUCUCCAGGAAUCGUUGUUGUAGCUAGGAAGGUAACGGUAAAACACACAUAGGAGAACCAGCCAAAACGAAUGGGUUUGGAAACGUUUGCGCUCCCCAGCCCCGGCUCUGCAGUCCUCACCUGACGGGUAUUUUGCUCCCGGGUCCUUGAUAUGCGGCAGAUAAUUCUUAUCAGCCCCACGCAGCCCAUUUCCAAAGAAGAGGGAGACGCUGCUGCCAGCCGCGCCCUGGGAUCGCCCCUGCACGGAACGACUCUAAACCGAGGGAUCGUCGCUCGGGCGGGAAAACUACGGCAAAAGCGGGGUUUGAAUCCUGCAGAUUGCUCCCCGCGCGGGGACAAACGAGGGCGGCCGCUCCGGGGCUCGGGGAGGGGCUGAGACCGGCGGAGCGCGGGACCCCGCUGUCCCGGGUUGCCCCGGGCCAGGGCCAUCCACCGAGUGCCACCAACGGCAUUGGGGGCCGGAGGGGCACGGGUGCGAUUUGCUCUUCUUUCCCGCUGGAAGAGAAGGAUGUUUUCCUCUGCUCUUUAGGUUUCCUACUAAAGAUGUCAUCUGAAAGUCUGGGAAGGAGCGGGGACCGUGCUCUGCUUCUUCCACGGUAACAACCAUAUUCUGCAUAUCGAACAAUACAACAGACAGUGGGAAAGGCUGAAACCCCCCGAAAAAAAAUAAGGAGAAAAAAAAAAUUAAAAAAGAAAAAAUCCCCAACCUUUUCAAUAUUGAUUAAAAAAAAAAAAAAAGGAGAAAAUUUAAAAAGAGAAGAAGCAGCACCAGCAGCAAGGAGAAUAUAGGCUCAGCAGCUCUCCAGGUUCGCUUCCUUAUUAUUACUAUCCAGGGGUAAUUUUUCAUCUCUGCUAGCUAAUCUUUGUUCCUUGUGAAGAUAAUGAAUAGCCCAAUCCUUAUCUCCUGGGCUCCUGGAGGCUGCUGGAGAAUGGGGUUGAACAGGGUUGAAAAUUGGUUCCAAAGUGCUGCUGAAUAAAUGGUGUUCCUUA